rnacentral:rRNA from 1 species
CCUACGGGAGGCUGCAAUGGGGAAUAUUGCACAAUGGGGGCAACCCUGAUGCAGCAACGCCGCGUGAAGGAAGACGGCUUUCGGAUUGUAAAAUUCUGUUCUUAGUGAAGAAGAAUGACGGUAGUUUAGGAGCAAGCAACGGCUUACUACGUGCCAGCCGCCGCGGUAAUAUGGAGGGGGCAAGCGUUGUCCGGAAUUACUGGGGGUAAAGGGAGCGCAGGCGGGAAGCCAAGUCAGCUGUGAAAACUACGGGCUUAACUUGUAGACUGCAGUUGAAACUGGUUUUCUUGAGUGAUGUAGAGGGUGGCGGAAUUCCGGGUGUAGCGGUGAAAUGCGUAGAUAUUCGGAAGAACACCGGUGGCGAAGGCGGCCAACUGGGCUUUAACUGACGCUGAGGCUCGAAAGUGUGGGGAGCAAACAGGAUUAGAUACCCGUGUAGUC